UUCGGAUUGUAGGCUGCAACCGCCUGCAUGAAGUUGGAAUUGCUAGUAAUCGCGGAUCAGCAUGCCGCGGUGAAUACGUUCCCGGGGAUUGUACACACCGCCCGUCACACCAUGAGAGUCGGGAACACCCAAAGUCCGUAGUCUAACCGCAAGGAGGACGCGGCCUAAGGUGGGUUCGAUAAUUGGGGUGAAGUCGUAACAAGGUAUC
rnacentral:rRNA from 1 species